rnacentral:rRNA from 1 species
UACGGAGGAUGCAAGCGUUAUCCGGAAUGAUUGGGCGUAAAGCGUCCGCAGGUGGCUAUGUAAGUCUGCUGUUAAAGAGUGAGGCUCAACCUCAUAAAAGCAGUGGAAACUACAUGGCUAGAGUGCGUUCGGGGCAGAGGGAAUUCCUGGUGUAGCGGUGAAAUGCGCAGAUAUCAGGAAGAACACCAAUGGCGAAAGCAGCUCUCUGGGACGGUACUGACGCUGAGACGCGAAAGCGUGGGGAGCGAACAGG